rnacentral:lncRNA from 1 species
CCCCAAAGGAAGAAUUGCUCUGUGGAGUGUCGAGUACCAGGCAGAGCUCCUCUACCUCCUCAUAGAGCACAUCGUCCAUGAGCUCAAGGACGCAGGGCUUUUCAGUCUCACCUGGAAGAAUAACGUCAGCAGUUUUAAUAAGUGAAUAAGGAGGAGCAGCGAGGACGGCGUGGGCUGUGGAGCGGAGCACAAUGACAGCGCCUUCCUGGAGCCUGGGUAUGACGUCUGCCUGGAAGAUCUUGGCGAUCUCCACAGAGCUGCCUGGAGGGGCACAGUUCCCAGAGUGGAGCUCAUUCUCAUGCUCAGGAACCCUGGCUUGGACAAGAGAGACAAGAAGAAGAGGCCCCGCAGCACCUGGGAUGUGGAAGCCUUGGAGGAGUCAGGGCCCAGGCCUCUUCAUGAGCCCCAAAACGAAAACCACACGCAGCCAUGAUUUCCCUAUUUCUCCUGAUUUCCCUCUUUCUCCGGAUUCCAACUGCAUCUUUAUAUCUAAAAAUUUUUGGCUUACCACACGGGGAGCUAAAAAAGCAACUCUUACCUGAUAUGUACUCAGAGGUGCACUGGGUUUUAAACUGUCCAUCACACAAGCCAAACCAGGUUCCACAAAACAGGAAACAGGAACCUAAGUAGUUCCAUUGUUUUUGUGCUCAAAAACAUGGGGUGCUCUAUCCCAAGUUCUGAAGCAACUAAAAUUAAUGUUGUCACUUGCAAUACUAAUGAGAGGAUGACUGGAGAAAGCUAUUUUGUUCUGCAGCAGAAGACCCUUGUGAUCAAAUUGAUACCUCAGGUAAACUGUUGGAGUUAUUUUCAAGCCUUCAUAAAAGCACGGCCAGUUAAGGUUGUGUCCAAAUUCAAGUAGAGUUUGUACCAAGUCGAAAAGAGUCUCAUACUCUUUAUUUGGUUGUAGAGAAGAGAAAAUUAAGUUUCUUUACCUAUGACUUCUCUAAUGUUUCUCUGGAGGGCUCUCUUAGGGACUAUUUCAACAAAUAUGACAUUUUCCCUUCCUUUGGCUGCAGUUGUGACAGCCUCGAUGAAACCAACUGGCUCUGGAAUGUUCCUUUAUCAAUAUUUGCCAGUAGUCAAAUCUUCACAAGCUGUUUUUCCUGUUGUUAUUGAAAUCAGUUCCAUUUCUGGCUCCAUCCUCCCCAAAUUUCCAAUGUUCUCUUUAAUGUCUUUGCACACUGGAUCCAUCAUAUAAUUGUGAUUAGCAGCUGGAACUGACAGGAUAUAUGAAAAUAUCCUGCUUUUCUCAAACUGCUGAGCCACCUCUUCAUGACACUUGGCUGUAGCUUCUACCUCUCCUGACAGGAUACAGGAGCAAGGACUGUUAAAGGCUGCCAUGCACAUUCUUCUGGAGAAGGACACCAGAGCCUUCGAGAUUUCUGUUCUCGGAAUCUAUAAAGGCUCUAAAAAAUGAAGUAUAAAUCUUUUAAAAAUAAAAAAUAAAUAAAUCAUAACUGCAUACAAUUAGAUCUAGUACAUACUGCACUAUUGUAAUGAUCUCAUAGCCACCUCCUGUUGCUAUUGCAGUGAACUCAAGUGUUGCAGGUACCCACUUAAAACGCCAAGUGAUGCUCAUCAUCUUCACAGAUGCAGUUCGUCUUGCCAGCAAAUCAUGUUUCAUAGUGAAAGUGACCUCUCGUGGUACUCAUGUAGUUUUCUUUUUAAAAUUAUUUGUAUGAGGCAUAGUAGGUAUAUAUUUAUAAAAUACAUGAGAUAUUUUGGUAGAGGCAUACAAUCAAUGUAUAAUAAUUACAUCAGGGUAAAUAGGUAUUCAUCAUCUCAAACAUUUAUCAUUUCUUUGAGUUACAUUCUGAUUAUACUAUUUUUAAAUGCACAAUAAAAUAUUGUUGACUGUAGUCACCCUGUUCUGCUGUCAAGUAGUAGAUCUUAUUCAUUUUAUCUAACUAUAUAUUUUUUACCCAUUAACCAUCCUCACUUAUCUCCAACCCCCACUACCCUUCCCAACCUCUGGUAACCUUCAUUCAAUUCUCUAUGUUCAUGAGUUUCAUUGUUUUAAUUUUUAGCUCCCACAAGUGAGUGAGAAGUCUUUCUGUGCCUGGCUUAUUUCCCUUGACAUAAUGACCUCUAGUUCCUUCAAUGUUAUUGCAAAUGCCAGUAUCUCAUUCUUUUCUAUGGUUGAAUAGUGCUCCAUUUUGUGUGUGUGUGUGUGUGUGUGUGCGCGUAUAUAUAUAUCUCACAUCUUCUUUAUCUAUUUUCCUGUUGAUGGUCACAUAGCUUGCUUCCAAAUAUUGGCUGUUGUGAAUAGUGCUGCAGUAAACUUGGAAGUACCAAUCUCUCUUGGACAUACUGAUUUCCAUUCCUUUGGAUAAAUACCCAAAUGCUCUCUUUAACAUCUUUUCACACUGGAUCCAUCAUAUAAUUGUGCAUAAUAGCAGCUGGAACUGAGAGGAUAUAGAAAUAUGCUGCUUUUCUCAAACUGCUGAGCCACCUCUUCAUGAUACUUGGCUAUAGCAUCUGCCUCUCCUGAUGGGGUACAGGAGCAAAGACUGUUAAAGGGGGAUUGCUGGAUCAUACGGCAGUUCUUUUUUUAGUUUUCUGAGGAAGCUCCAUGCUGUUCUCCAUAGUGAUUGUACUGAUCUACAUUCCCAACAACAGUGUAUGAGGGUUCCCUUUUCUCUAUAUCCUUGCCAGCAUUUGUUGUUGCUUGUCUUUUGUAUCAAAGCCUUUUCUAGUGGGGUGAGAUGUUAUCUCAUUGUAGUUUUGAUUUGCAUUUCCUUGAUGAUCAAUGAUGUUGAGCACCUUUCUAUAUACCUGUUUGCCAUUUG